CCCUUAGAUGUCCGGGGCUGCACGCGCGCUACACUGAAUGAAUCAGCGUGCUAGAAAACCUUGUUUGACAUGGCUAGGUAACCCAUUGAAAAUCAUUCGUGAUUGGGAUCGGGACUUGCAAAUGUGUCCCUUGAACGAGGAAUUCCCAGUAAGUGCGGGUCAUCAGCUCGCGUUGAUUACGUCCCUGCCCUUUGUACACACCGCCCGUCGCUGCCCGGAACUGAGCCGUUUCGAGAAGACUGAGGAUUGUUGACUUGAGGCCUUCACGGGCUUCUAGUCGGUGAAAAUCAAUUUAAUCGCAGCGGCUUGAACCGGGCAAAAGUCGUAACA
rnacentral:rRNA from 1 species